GCAGAGAAAGUCCAUCUACACUAAGACCUGCUUUCCCACCAUCAUGGACCACAUCCAGUUUACUAACAAAAUCAACAUUGUGGUCAGCUUCACUCUGGCUAUUCUAGCUCUCCUUGGUGUGAUUCUUUCCUCCAUCAUGGUGUACCACCUGUAUCGCUUCAACAGCCUCACCAUGAUGAUCCUCACGAGACCACCAAAAUACAACGAGAUGUGCAAACCUCCACCAUACUAGUCAAAGUAUGACAGAGUUUUUUUUUCUUUUGCUAGCUUGGUGCACAGAUUUCUGGAGCCCUGUCGAGUCUGUUUUCUUGAAUUUGAAAAUGACAUAUUUGGUUGAGGUUUAUAUCAUUGUGCCUUAUGUCUUCAUGAUGAAGUUGUCUAAAUUGAGAUCAUCAGUUUCAAGCGACUUGAAAAAUGAUACUUAAUAAGCUUAAAUUGAAAUGAAAAUGUCUAAAAUUUGACUCUUUUAAUUCAACCUUUAUCAGAAAUCCUUAUUUUCAUCACAUUAACAAUGAGAAAAUGUCUAAAAAGGAAAAAUAACUGAAUCUAGCGAUUUCCAAAGCUGAACAGAGGUGAUGGCUUACAACACCAGCUAUUAGCCACCUACUAUGCAGUCUUGAGACCAUUCCCAGCCAAAUUAUUGCUCACUGACACCUUUGACUCAUGUGACCUGUUAUGUUUCUAGAAUGCAAUGUUACUGUUACUAAUUCUGUUUGCGAUGGUAACAUUUGAUGAAAUUAAAAGCCACAUUCCUUUUCUAUCUCAUGUGAAGUUUCUUAGUAAUACAAAGACAGUUAAGUUAUAUUUUAAAAACUGAGAACUGUGUUGAUGCAGCUACUUGUAAAAAUGUUUAUAAAGGGAAAUAUUUUUGUAUAUUGUUUUGGUAUUUUUAGUGUCUUCUUUGUGUCAUGUUUGAUUCUUCUGAUGUAAACUGUAA